ensembl:lncRNA
GACAACAUGGACAUCAGUAUGUGUGUGUUUCAGUGAGGUGGAUGGGAACCCAGACUAUGACAACCUGGACAUCAGUAUGUGUGUGUUUCAGAGAGGUGGAUGGGAACCCAGACUAUGACAACCUGGACAUCAGUAUGUGUGUGUUUCAGUGAGGUGGAUGGGAACCCAGACUAUGACAACGUGGACAUCAGUAUGUGUGUGUUUCAGAGAGGUGGAUGGGAACCCAGACUACGACAACCUGGACAUCAGUAUGUGUGUGUUUCAGAGAGGUGGAUGGGAACCCAGACUAUGACAACAUGGACAUCAGUAUGUGUGUGUUUCAGUGAGGUGGAUGGGAACCCAGGCUAUGACAACAUGGACAUCAGUAUGUGUGUUUCAGUGAGGUGGAUGGGAACCCAGACUAUGACAACAUGGACAUCAGUAUGUGUGUGUUUCAGUGAGGUGGAUGGGAACCCAGACUACGACAACCUGGACAUCGUAAACCGAGAUGCAGAGGAAAAGUACUUUGAUGAGGAGGAGGAGGAAGAGGAUGAAUCAGAAGAGAAAGAGAUGUCUCAGUAGUUGUCAUGACAGCAGCUGUUUAUGGCAUGUAAAUAUGAAACUAACCCUUUUGUAAAAACUCAGUAGAUUUCAAAUCACUAUCAGCAUUC